CUCAAAGAUUAAGCCAUGCAUGUCUAAGCACAUGCCUUAAUACGGUGAAGCCGCGAAUAGCUCAUUACAACAGCCAUCGUUUACUAGAAAAUCGUUGUCCUACUUGGAUAACUGUGGCAAUUCUAGAGCUAAUACAUGCAAAUAAGCUCAUCGCCGCGAGGCUUGAGCGCAUUUAUUAGAAUAAAAACCAAUCGGGUCUAAACAGCCCGCUCUUUGGUGAAUCUGAAUAACUUUGCUGAUCGCAGGUCCUAGUACCAGCGACGUAUCUUUCAAGUGUCUGCCUUAUCAACUUUCGAUGGUAGGCUAUACGCCUACCAUGGUAGUAACGGGUAACGGAGAAUAAGGGUUCGACUCCGGAGAGGGAGCCUGAGAAACGGCUACCACAUCCAAGGAAGGCAGCAGGCGCGCAAAUUACCCACUUCCAGAACGGAGAGGUAGUGACGAAAAAUAACGAGACAGUCCUCUUCGAGGUCUGUCAUCGGAAUGGGUACAAUUUAAAUCCUUUAACGAGGAUCUAUUGGAGGGCAAGUCUGGUGCCAGCAGCCGCGGUAAUUCCAGCUCCAAUAGCGUAUAUUAAAGUUGUUGCGGUUAAAACGCUCGUAGUUGGAUCUGCGGCCUGAGAGAACGGUCCCCCGAAAGGGCGGUAGCCGUUACUCUCGGCCUAAAUAUUCAGUCCACUCUAUAGUGCCCUUAACCGGGUGCUUAGAGUGACUGGAACGUUUACUUUGAAAAAAUUAGAGUGCUCAAAGCAGGCGAAUUCGCCUGAAUAAGGUGCAUGGAAUAAUGGAAUAGGACCUCGGUUCUAUUUUGUUGGUUUUCGGAGCCUGAGGUAAUGAUUAAGAGGAACAGACGGGGGCAUUCGUAUUCCGGCGCUAGAGGUGAAAUUCUUGGACCGCCGGAAGACGGACGACUGCGAAAGCAUUUGCCAAGAAUGUUUUCAUUAAUCGAGAACGAAAGUUAGAGGUUCGAAGGCGAUCAGAUACCGCCCUAGUUCUGACCGUAAA
rnacentral:rRNA from 1 species